AAGGACAAUAAAUAAAAAAAUACAUACAUAAAUACAUAAAUAACAUUUAACGUCAUGUUUCGGGGCAAUAGCGGGAUGCAUUUUAGGUUAUUUUCAUCAGAUGAAGCCUUAGAAGUGAGAUUCACCAAACUUUUGGUGACACGAGUCCACCCUCUGAGGACAGAGCUCCAGCGUAGGGAGGGCUGAUGACCAGAGUCACGCGCUCAGUGAGAGGCAGUCCCGGGACUGCUUCACUUACAGAGGGAGGUGCCGGAACAACCCUGGGCGGUGCGAAUCUCUGAAGCCCUCUGGCCCCCGCCGGCAGCCGCUAUUCUCGGGCUGGGAUCCGGCUCAGGCCUCUGAGGAGGGGGGUGUGCUGCCCCCCAAAGCGGUGCAGCAGUAAGAGCUCCGCCUCCCAACACAAAAGAUGAUGCGGAAAGGCCCUCUCACAAUGCCAUGUCAUCGGGGAAGGAGCACCCCAGCACCCUCCAACACCGUCCCCCUAAAAUCCACCAAGUCCUCAGGGCCCAGGGGGAGCUCUGAGAAGGCAGCCGAGUCCUCCAAGGAUGGGCCACUUAUUCAUCCAAAAAAUGUGUCUGAGCCUGACGGCGUGUUGGACGCGGUGCUGGGCCCUCCUCAGAGAAGCCUGCCCGUGGCUGGCAGAGGCCUUCCUGCUCACCAGAGGCUGGAGGACGGGGCAACCAGGACAGCAGGGGACAGGGGGCUCCGUGAUCCCACCUCGGCCCCUACCCAAGGCAGCUCAAGUCCUGACCCCUCCAGGGCGUGGCCCCUAGACAGUGCUCUGUGCCCUUCUGGAGCGACAGAGCCAAGGACACGGGGGACACUGAGUGCGCUGGCAACCCUCAGGGAUUUGGAGCAGGACCACUGGUGCUUCUGAGAAUCCGGAGUCACGAGAGGACUACGGGACCCUAGACAAGAGGAGGUGAGAUCCGGGGCUAAGCCUGGGGACGCCCCAGCCACUUCCCCAGAAGGGCCAGUUCCUAACAGCUGGCAAAGCCAGCCUCCCACUGACCUCCAGUCCCAGCGACGUCACAGGGAGGGCAGCAACCACCAUCCCUGCCCCAACCCCACCAGGAGGGCUGAGAUGACCCGCCCGAUGGAGCCUUUGGGAACGUGGGGCUGUAGGCACCCGACCCCUCUCACCAAAAGAAGACGACCGGCCUGGAGCUGGUGGCCAGCGUGCAGGAUGGUGGGUGGGCUACUUCACUGCUCAGCUAAGUUUUCUCACCUAUAACGGAGGGCUGAUGAGCUGCUCACACCCCUGCCCAGUGUUGGAGGAGAUUCAACGAGCCCACACACGUAAAGCACCUGGUACCACUGCCUGGUACACAACCAGCCUUCGGGAGGUGUUUUGAUUCCUGGCAUCCUGGGGGGCGGCCAUUCGACUUACUUGUAAACACCAAGGGCCCCAGUGAAGGAGCCAGGUCCUCAGAGAGUCACCCGUGUGCUCGCCCUCGCUCUUCACACUCAGACGGUAGGACAAUAACCCAGCUCCCUGCAUCCACAGGGGCCUCCCUGUCACGGUCACCCACUGGCCACAGGGCCGGCCACUGCCUGCAGUGCCACAGAGGGAGCCUGACACCCACCUCGCUAUCUGCUACGGAGGGAGCCUGACACCCACCUCGCAUGACAGUCCUUUCCGUACCUACAGCUGUGCCCAGCACACGCCUGCCGCCUGCCGGGGCCCACCCGCUCGGGGACGUCGGUCUGCGCCUUCUACCUCCUCCCCGCCAGCAGCCCUCCUGGGACCGCACUCUCACUUGACACCUUCCCUCCUCCCCGGGAUCAAGAGCUGGAGCCACCCUCCAGAGGUGGCCGGAGCAGCUGCACAACGGCAGACGGGCCUCCGGCAGAACCGCAGAACCGCGGCAGGGCUCUCACCGCCUCCCUCGCCGGUUUCCCCCAUGGGUGCGGCUGCCCUGCCCCCUCAUCCCCACCCCGCCGUGGAAACCUUGCUGGGCUGUCUUCCCCGGGAAUCUUUCCAUCGUGACCUUGGGAACAAACGUAUCCAUAAGCCUUGGCUGAAUUUUUUUCUAUAUGAAAAACACUCAGCGGGAUGCUUCACAUGAAUUAUGUCUCUCAAUCUGCUCAACUUCCUGCGGCUGGGAGUUGAACCCUGUUCUCUGACCCUGGAGCUCAGUGACGCUGUCCUGAGGACUCCCGGGAAGGACUCUUUCCACCUGGCCAAGCUCCUGCAGGGGGAUGGUGUGCUGACCCUGGAUGAGGACCCGAGACCCGUGGUCUCUAGGGGACGAAGCAGCAGACCCACCUUGAGUCGCCGGUCCUUCCCAGGCGGGGCGGACGGCAAGCCACGCACGCUGCUCCUUCCCUUCUCCAAACGCCAUCAGCAUGUGCAACCUGUGCUACACGUCAGAGGCUCCUAACAGCUGUCCUGUCUCGUCACCUCUGCUCAUCUGUGCCUCCAACUAGAGUCUGCACUUUCCAAAGACGAGGCCGGGGCCAGGUUCCCAAUUCCCCAUUCGUUCUCUCCAGCACCAAGCUCCCAGGGGCAUGCGAUCAAUACCUGUUGAUCGGCUGAUCAGGCAGUCAGGCCUCCCUGUCAACACGGCCUCAGCACACUCACCAGAAAUGGGCUCCCUCGGUCUGAGUCCCCCCCUGCAUGCACCGGUCCUCUGAGCUUCCCGCUAUGCUCCUCUCUGUGAACCAGACCUGUCACACGUGAAUUUACUCCUCUUUCUCCAACUUCUGGACAGUGUCCCCAAGAAACAGCAAGGGGACUGCCAACCUGUGUUUUCACAAACACCGUCUGGCCAGAGGAUAGGGGCGGCGUGCCCUGUGCUGAAAAUGGUGCAACGUCGAUCCUGAACCUCGGGCAUCAGCCAGGAGGUUUUCUUGGCAUUCUGGCCCCACGCGAGGCUGAGAACGAGGAGCCAGAAACCAGUGGUGGGAGGACUGUCCAACCCACCCUCUCCUAGAGAGUCACAGACCAGGGACUCUAGCGGCUCCCCCCGGCUGCUCGCUGUAGAAGUGAGUUCAGCAAAGAGCAGAAAGGCACCAUCCUUCCUAGACACAGCAGAUGAGAGAAAGGAGCAAAGGGCCGUCAGAGCCCUCAGGUGGCAGGUGCAAGGAUGGAGUCCCCUGGGGUGGGGUGGGGUGGGGUGAACUUCUUACUAUUAGCAGAACACUCACUGGCCAAGGGCAAGAGGAGCAAAGUCUCUGCCUCAGUGCCUGGCGCCUCACAGAGACCGAUGGGCUCCAGACGGCAGCGCAGGCUCCUCCGAGACGUGAAAGAGCUGAUGGCACAGGGAGGGCCUAACGUCCUCGGGUGCCUGUUCCAGGAACUGGCCCAAGGUGCUUUACGCGUUCCUACCAAGCAUCUCUGAUUCCUCUAAGCACCUCCGGUACCUACGACAACGGCAGGCGCACCGUGUUUGUGGAUAUGAGGCUAACUGAAUCCAGGACAGGAGGAGAAAGAGAAUCAAAAUUAAAUAUAAGAUAUGGUUCAUAACCAAAGGAGCUCCUAAAAUAGAUUCCAGCGCUAACAUGAUUUGGGAACAGUUAUAAAACAGCCUAACUGCAAGAAAGCUUCUUGUGGACCUGGACAGCGCCUCGCAGCCCUUCGCGCCACCACGGAUCAUGCAUUUCCAGCCACUGUCUGCAGGCUGAACAGACAGCUGAGCCCAGAACUGGAAACACAGCACAAUUUUUGGGGGGCUGCUUUGAAAGAGCCAACAUGCUAACGCUGACCUCUUCAUCUUCAAAACCAUCCAACGCCCUGCCACUGACGGAGCACCGCCCGCCGGCCCUUAGGCUGGAGCUACCAUGUCACCUUUGGGCAAAAAAGAGAUGAAGGAGCCCCCGCCGGCCACCCCCACCCCAAGUCUUACCUCCCCGUCUCCUUUCACUCGCACACGCAGAACCGAGUAACAAGUUAAAAAAAUGGCAGGAACCCUUCCUUCUGAGUAAACGUCGCUCCUCGGCCAAGACGACAGAGCCAUGCGACGCCGUGGAAUGACUCCCUCCGCCCGUGGAUUGAGAACCCGCUCAGGCCCAAGCUGGAGCCCUGUCAGCUGACCACAAGGACAGGGCCCUCUCCCCCGGCCCGCGGGAGGACUUCGACCUCCUCUCCCACGCCCUUGACCCCCAAGGACCCCAGCUUCGGGAGAUGAGGGGUAGGAAGAGUAGCCCCUCCCCCUGGCGCAGCGCCCUUCCCAAGGGACUGGCCCCUCCUGAGGCUGCCCUGAGGCCUCAGCUCUCAUCCCCAACAGGCAUGGACACUGCUCACCUCGCUGGGAGCCUUCAAACAAGGCGAAGCCCCCAAACCGGGAAGCCCCUUGUCUCUAAGCCGCCCCACCAGCACCCUCCUCGUGAGGAAGGAAGGCCUGAACCAGCCAGAGCCCUCAGCACGCGCCGGGCCUGGUGCUCGCGCACGCCGGAGGCCGGCCUACCAUCACCUCCACUUUACGGAGUAGGACCUCGGGGCCCGUGCAGGGGUACACGGCCUGUCCCCGACUCACGAACACCGUGUCGGGCAAGCCAGUGACAUCCUCCUCUCGGGAGGCUUCCCCCAAACUCGGUCCUUCCCCGAUAAACUGCUACUCCCUGUUUUCGCACUUGACAAUCGCAGGUACAAAACUGGGACUAACUGCAUGUCCUGAAAAGAAAAAAAAAAGGGUUGGCGUUUCCACUGUGGCUCAUCAGGUUAAGAACCCGACACAGUGUCUGUGCGGACACGGCUUCCAUCCCUGGCCUCGCUCCGUGGAUUACAGAUCCGGCGUUGCCGUGAGCCGUGGUGCAGGUCGCAGAUGUGGCUUGGAUCUGGCGUUGCUGUGGUUGUGGUGUAGGCCUCAGCUGCAGCUUCAAUUCAGCCCCUGGCCUGGGAACUUCUAUGUGCCAAGGAUUCGGCCCUAAAAGGCCUGUGCACGUGUACCUUUUUAAGUAAGUUUUUACUAUUGACCCACGUGAGUGAGGUGUGUAGAGAACGCCUUCCAGUGCACAAAGACGUUUUAUGACGCAGUACCCCCCUUCAUCUCCCCUCAAAGGCUAGGCAACACACAGAUGAGCCAAGGAGAAAAGCCGGAGGCAUCAGCCGAGACAGUGAGGGAGCAGCAGCGCACAGAUGGGCCCCGGGUCUUCCCAGCGUGAGGCCCCAAGUUCUGGGUGCCACCGCCUGAGAGGCUCAGCCUCGGGCCUGACAGCAGGGCGUGACUCAGCAAGACUGGGUUUACUGGCUGUGUGACCCAGGGCAAGCUACUUAACCUCCUCUUGCUCAGCCUCUUCCUCCACAAAACAGCGCUAAUGACCACGGUGACAUGAAGUCACCCCGAGGAUGAGAUGAAAUAAUCUAGGCAAAGCCAUCAGUGCACCGGCCAACACACAGGCGGCGCUGGGGACAUGGCGGGACUGUCACUACACCUCACCGCCCAAGGCAGGCCUGUGUGUCCCCUUGACGUCCUUGUGCCUGUUACCAUGGAGACCAGGUACAACAGUGUAGGCAGCAGGUGCUUAUUCAUGCAGGUUGGCUACGCACAACUUCCUCAGACCAGCCACGCACGUCAUGAGCAGCUGUGGCCCAGAUACAAGGGUGCGGGCGCUGAGGACAAGCCAGGGUUCUCAGUGGCCAGGAACCGUGCCUCCCGCUGGCCGGGCUACGACCUGGCCCCACCGGAGCGCUGCACAGCAUCUGCCCGAUGGACGCGGCCCGGGACCAGGGGGCAGGCAGAUGGGGGUUCCCUCCACAGGACCAAACGGCCAGUCUGGUCCAGGCCCCGCAUGCACUCUGCCUUCUCCUGGACGAAUCCUCAGCACUGCCUCCGAACCACCCUCCUGGGCUCCAGGUCCUGCUUCAAGGCUUGGGAAUACACCUGUCCUUGGUGACAAGAGCAAAGACAAGCACAUGGCCUACUUCCACCAACCUGUUUCUCACUUCAAGAUUAAAAUAAUAAACACAGACAUCCAGAGGCUAGAGAGCGUGGGGCACUGGAGCCGGGGUUGAGCCUGGCAACCUACACAAGGUGUGUCAGGGCGAGGGGGCCGCAGACAGACAAGCACCGGGGCUGGAAUAGGCAGGGCUCGACGGGGAAGGUCACAAGGGCUGGCCUGGUUCCUCGUGGCACUGGGCCGGGGGUGGGGGGUGGAGGGGGCAAAUAGCACACUGCCUUCCCACACGACUUGUGACUCUCAGCCCUGUGUUCCCAGCACUUCCUAGCUGGUCGCCCUGCUAGCUCCAGGCUCUCUCUCUUCUCCAGUCUAGCCUAGAUUCUUCCACCAGGAUGUCCCCUAAAAUCCUGGACCUGCCCGACCCUUCUCUGCUCCCCAUGCUCCCCAGCACCUCGUCUGGGCUCUCGCCUAGCAUUCCAGGCCCCCUGGCUUCUGGUCCUGCCCCCCCCACCCACUCACACAGUCCUCACACCUCUCACCCCGAUCCUGCUCACCACCCUCGUUCCCUCCCUCCGUCCGCUGCCACUGAUGCUGAGUCUGCCCCUCCCAAAUCCAGAGGUUUGGUUUUUUGUGGGGUUUUUUUUUUUUUUUUUUUUUGGCCACACCUGUGGCAUGUGAAAGUUCCAGAGUGGUCACUGUUCUCAU
ensembl:lncRNA